GACGGUCUGUUCAGUUCAGGGCUAAGCAAAGAGACCGAGAACAGCUUCUCAGCCCCAACUUUACCGCAUCCGGUCCUUUUACCACAGUCUGUGAGAAUUUCGUUUGUUACAGCAUGUCCUCUACGUCGUCCACAGGCCUACCCGUACAUAUCGUGAAUAUCUGAUGUGAACGAGUGUGACAACAUGGAGUGACCAGAGGCCAGAUUUUUACAAAAGUAAUCCCUGCGCUCACGAGAAUAUAAACAUGUUGUACAUGUUUGAUGUUGAUGCUGGGACCAUGAUGACCUUUGAUAUGAGCCUGAGUAUGGACCUAGUGUCCGUACUGCAGGAACAUAUCCAGAAGGUUCUCAAGAUCCCCAUCGUUAAUCAAGUAUUGCUCGUGAGUGGGGGGAUAGCACUCUCGCCAAGCCAAAGAGUGUGCGCAUUCUCCGCCGGCACGGAUACCAACCCGAUCUUCCUGUACAACAAACAAUACUACCUUCAUCCCGGAAAUGUAGCUCCACUGGAUCAGAUGGUCUUUGAUGCUGGCCCAGACUUGCCGGACAUGCAGGCGGAGGUGGACGCGAGUUUGAUGCUGCCUGACACUAUAAACAGUGUUAUGAUCCGGUCCCAGCUGGCCCACCGUUUCUGUGAGAUGGCACAGACAGAAAUGCAAGCAUGCGAGCGUUUGGUGCAUGAACAGCAUCUUCAGCAUCAGGGUUUUAUGGCUGUAAUCGCCAACAUGGAUGAUACAGUGCCUAGUGUCAAGAACAGUACAGAACAGUUUCUGAACAUGUUCCAGGAGUUUCUGGAGAACAAGCCGCACUAUUUACAACUUUCAGAAACUGUACAAGACGUGGCAGCAACGUUGGCCACCAUCCCUCUGCUGCCGAGCUUAGUGGAGCAAGUACCUCAGGACCCUAUGACCUCCAUCACCAGCUGCAAGGACAUUGAGGGGCAGCGGGACAACAUGUCACUACUCGACUGGCUGCAGCUGCGGAGUUCCAAUGACAGCUUCCACCAACUGUCGCAGAUUUGUACCAGGGGCUUACAACAGUACACUGAGGAGAUGGUCUCCAAUAUCCAGAUUUUGCUCACAAAUAUGCUGACUAGCUUUACGGAUGAGAACUUGAGAUCAAUCAAAGGCCUCCCAGAGAGGUUCUCCGGUCUGGAGAAACUGCUGAAGGAUGCCCGUGUAAUUGUGCAGGAACAGGGUGACCUCGCUCAGGCUAUCCAUCAGAACUCUACGCGAGCGAGUAAUCUGGGCGAUAACUCCAUACUGCCGGACCUCUGCGCCAGCCAUCGGCGUCAGUUGAUUCUGAUGCAGACAAACCAUAAGAGAAUCAAGGAUGUCCACCGGCGCGUAGUAAUCGCGAAGACAGAGCUUAUCCAGACCAUCUAUAUACGGUUGAAGUGGGCGUAUGGAGUUGAGUGCCAGAUGUCAAUAUUGUCAGAGCGCAUUCACAUGAUUUCCUCCGGGUUGAAGACAUUGAAGGACGAGUUGAACAUUCUUCAGCAGACCCACAGUGUUCCACAUCUCUACUUGACAGCUGUGGCUGAGGUGGUGCGCAGGCGUACCUUCUCUCAUGCGUUUCUUAUGUGGGCCAAUGACCUUGCCUGCCAACUGUGCGCAGUUCACUCUGAAGAGGUUGCCAGACGCCAGAACUUCCAGACCCAAUUCGAGGGCCACAUCUUGAGCAACCUUUUUCCUGGACUGGGCGAUGUGCCCCCACCAUUUGCAACCCAGGCGCCAAAGUCUUUUGAUACCAAGCUGCCCAAGUUGGGUGUGGAUGAUAUACGGAUGCUGCAAGAUAAGGUUGCCGAUUUUGCUUUGUCAGUUUCAUUGCCUGAUCUCAACGCAAUCACUCAGUUCUUUGUGUCAAAAUCUAUUACGAACCCCAUGAAACCGAAGGAGGUGGAGCGAUUGGUGGAAGAAGUGACAGCGAUGGAACAGCCCUUAGAGAGCCAAGCCGCUGGGUCUGGGUAUUUAGCGACAGUCUUGCCGAUCAUGGACAGGGGGUUUGAGUCAGAAACUGACACAGAAGAAUUUGAGAAGGUCGGUCAAAGUCCUACCGAUAUGGCCUUGGACACGGAGAAGAGGGCAGAUAGUGCUCAAGAGCAGAAGGUGAGUCAACUGCACCAGACGAAGGAGGAAGUGCAGAAAUCCAUAGUUACCAUAAGGAAUGAUCUCAGUUCGUUGAAGGAAUGGCUUCAGAGUGAGCACAAUCACGUCCACAGCUUCCUGCAGCAGUUGACCACUGCCUACCGCAGUGAGGUCGACCUCAAGGAUCAACACAUCUAUCAGCUGCGACAGGAGAUGGCCAAUCGCGAGGAGGAGAUUGAAGAACUGCGGAAGCGUCUGACGCUGAGCCUGCAGGCGGAAACAAGGGAGAGGGAGCUGAGAGAGCAGGUGGAGGCCGCAAGGGACCUAGCGGUGCGUGAGGCCACAGAACAGCUGCUCCAGGAUCAUCGUCGGGAGAUGGAGGCAGUCCGCAGUCGCUUCCGUCUCAUGGCCACAGCCACAUCGAUGGAGCGCAGUCCUUCCGAGCUCAGUCUGGAGAGGAUGGACCACCAGAGAAUGAGCCUGGAGAGCGAGGAGGUGGUGGCGCAGGUGCGGGCCGAGCUGGUGCAGGAGCGUGACCGCGCAGUAGCAGAAGAACGUCAGCGCUGGCAGAGCAAGCUGGACCAUGAGAUACACCAGCUCAAGAUACGGGCGGACGCAGAAAAGCAGAUCUGGUUCAACGAGGCAAUGCGCCGGGUACUGGUGGAGAAAGACAGACAACUGGAGAGUCUACGACUGCACAGCCUCCAUAUUGAGUCAGAGUGCCAGAAACACCGAGAGACCAUUCAACGACUUACCGGCACCAGUGGGAGUGUGGGCAGUGAGAGUUCACUUCUGGAGAGGGUGGAGGCACUGGAGGCGGCCAAGGUGAGACUGGAGGCUGAGCUGGCGGAGGCUCGGAGCUCCCCCACCCCCCACGGCACCCCCUCUCAUCAGGACAUGAGCACAUCCAUUGCACUGUGCGAUGGUGAUGGAGGGUUGCGAGAUGCUGCAACCAGUCCAGAUCCUGCCCGGAAAACUCAACUGAAAGAGAAGCUGUCAAAAAGUACAACAACACUAAUUCAGCAGGGAAGAGUCAGCGUUGGCUCGUGUAACAUUGGAGACGCAGUCCUGGUCGUAUGGGAGGAGAACUACCACAGCUAUAUGAUCCUGCAGGAGAGCUCCACACUUUAUUUCCUGCAUCCAGACAGCUUGGCUGCUAUGUCGCUCUUUCCAUCUUCAGAUGGCAGUCCGAGGCAGAUCUACUACUGUACGGCUGAAGUCGUGGAAAAAGAAUACUGCCAUGCCAGAAAGAAUCUUGAUGCUGCUAACUUCAGUCGUCUGGUAAAACGAAUAGAGAAUAUUUCCAUCCGGGAAACACCUGAAACGAGUCAACCAACACCUCAACAGUCUGCGUGUGAAAGUCUAGAUGAAACAAACACUGGGCUUGUUACACCUCAGCCGGUGAAUCGUUACAACGUGGCCAAAGGUACCAAGUUCUACAGAGUGAAGGUGAAGCCUCUCACUGUCCUGACCCACCACUCCCAGUCCAGCAGCGGCUGCAGCGCCUAGGCCUCAGGGGCAGUGCAAGAAAAUCACUUAAGUGUGAUAGUUCAUCUGUUGUAUUAGUUCCAGACAACCCUGUGAUACGUUGCUGUGUCGCUCAUCAGCAGUAGAUUGUAAGCUAUUCACUGAGAGAACACCUCGGAAACUUUCGCUCCGACACAAGUCUAAUGUGAUGGUUUCUUAUAAUUACGACUGUGUAAGAUACAUGAAUAAACUCUGUACAUAAUUAAAAGUUUAUGAAUUAACUGUGGGUUUAUUUUUUUCUUAAUGUACUAUGUAUACAGAUUUGUAGAGAUCAUAAUAUAUCUAGUCUGUAAUGUCAAUGAGUGAUUUUUUGAUAUUACUUCCGUCUGUCCACAUAUUUUGCUUUAAAAAUCUUCAAACAUAAAAUACGUUAAAAAAUAAUUUUGUAUUAUAAUCAGUUAAGUAGGUGAGAGCUACAUAACUGAUACGUAACUGUAGGUUAUUUAAUACGUAGUUCUGUUUUUGCUUUCCUGCCGUUAGUAUUUGCUUACAGUGUGCUUUUAGUACAUUUAAAUUGAACAUUUCAGUAGACGCUUUUGUAGUACAAGUUAAUGUAAUACAUAAUGUACAAUUUUACGAUUUCCACCAGAUUUUCUCAAUUAAGACAAUACGUUUUAGUUCACGUCAGCACCGUAUCGUAGCAAGUGUACUUAAAUAUAUAUGUAAUAUGCACAGCACUGUACAUUCAUAUGUAAAUAGUAAUGUAUAUUUUCUUACACAUGAGACGUCGUGUUUUAUUAAGCGUGUUACGUGUUUAGCCCUUGUUUAGUCACUAUUUUAAGAUUGUUUUGUACCAAUUAUAUUGACUCGCUCCGUAUGUGAUGUUCUCUAAAUAAAUGUAAGUAAAUUAAUUUUAUAUUUAAUCAAAUAAGGUUAAAAUUGUUAGAUUUUUACAGAUAGUUGUAAUUAUUUCUGAAAUAAAUGUCUACCACAAUAUAUUAUUAUA